CAGGAAUGAACUGGUGCAUACGCUUUAAGUCAAAGAUAUGACUUUAGAGUCCCAACAGUUUUUGCUUAUUGCCCAACCAAUUACCAGAUGUGUAAUUUUGACCAUAUUACUUAACCUGAAUCAACUUCCUCAUCUGAGAAGCAGGAAUACUAGUAUCUCACAAAGUUGUGAGAAAUGAGAAAAUGUGCGUUGCACAUACACUACACAGCACAUUACUGAUUUGUCACUAUAUGACCACAGCACUCCUUCUCCCUUAGCCUUAGUGAAUGUUUUUUCACUGGGAUUAAUUCUUGCCUUGGGAUUCUGUCCUACUCCUCCUCACCAUCAUCCUGAGAGUGUAGUUAGUUCAUUCCUACUGUUUUAAUGGUAUAUGAUACAUAUACCAUCUUUAUUUUGGCCACAAAGUUAAGUAUUCAGGCUACAUGGCCAAUUAUAUUAGCUAAGAUUUUAAUUUGAUGUGGACAUCCAGUCCCAACAAACUAGUGUGCCAAUAAUCUUUACUUCUCAAAUGUCUUUCAAUCCAAAAUAUUCAUCCCUCAAAGAAAUUCUCAAUGCUAUUAUCAUUUUCUUACCUCUUUAACAAAAGUGGUAUUUUUCUUUCAAUAUCCAUCAUAGAAUAAUUGGAUUAUGCCCCAAACUCUUUACCUUUCCUUGUAUCCAUUUCUUUGUUAUGUAACUAGUGAUAUCAUACACAUUCUGAUUCUGAAUUUGGCCUCGUAACUGGCUUUAGCUAACGGGACAGUAGCAAACAUGACAGAAGGAAAGGCAUGAAAAUCACUUGUAUGACAGAGCUAUGACAUUUUUUUUACACCUCUACCACUACCAUGAGAACAUGGCCAGGCUAGCCUUCUGGGUUCAGUAGCCUCUGGACGACUGUAAGACAUAUGCAACCCAGGACAAAAGCUCCGGGUCUGAGCUCUCAAGGGGAAGGUCUUUGCCUCUCCAUGGAUUAACAACUUGGCUGGGACUCCUUUCCUUUCUAAGUAUCACAAGGAACCAGACUGAAAGAUAUGGUUUUGAGCACUUCAAUAUACUUAUUUUUCUUCAGGGAAGGUAUGUAUCAGAAAUAAUGUAUUUAGGAGAAAAAAGGACAAUUUUGUUUAGGUUUCUGUUUUGCCUGACCUGAAAGCAGAUGCUGCCUACUGUUUGCAUAGUGACUAGAACAGGAAGAAACCAAGCGUGUCUAAAGAAGGCAAUGAAUGAGACUAAAACAAGACACUAUUGUAGAGGAAUAUGAAAAUAACCCAAGCCUUUAAAAUAAAGCAGCUUCCUCAGUUAUAAAGAAACAGUCGCACUUCUUUAAAAAUCAUAAGCCAAAUAAACACAUACACAAUUAUUUGCCUCUCUGUUGUACACCUGACCUCCUCUUAUUAGUUUAUGAAUUAGUUAUACCAGAGUAUCAGACUACUGAAAGGUAAAAUAUUACAGAGCAUCUUCACCAAACUAAAUUCCAAAAAUAUUCCAUACUAAUAGCUGUGAGUACGUUUUUAGAAAUCACACUCUCCAUCUCCAAAAAUGCCAGAGAAUACAUUUCUGUGUAUUCUGCUAAAUAAUCUAGAGUAUUAGUGAGUCAUAUUCUGUUGGAAGUGACAAAUCUGAGCAAAGGGUAAACUUUAGUUAUGCAACAAAGAAAAAGCAUUAUAAAAUUAAGAGUUACAAUUCAGUUCUUUUCAUCUAAUUUGUUAAAACAACAACAACAAAAGAGAAGUAGGCAUUUCAAUGUAAAGGCAAAUGAAAACAGGCUAACAAUGUAUGAAUAGUUAGACUAUGCCAGAAAAGGAGUUGUUCUACAGAGACUGGUUGCUAAAGAAGUCAUAACUCUGUAAUUACAAACCAUCUGUACACAGGAUGAACUGUUAUAAAUAGCUCUUUUUCCUAAUAAGGGUCAUGAGAAAGUCACACUAUGGAUAGUUUUGAGUUCUCAAGGAGACCACUCUAUAACCCUGGAUUCUCACAAAGUCCUAUAGCCAAUCUAUAAAGUUCUGAUUAAUUCUCAAAGAGGUUCACAACUACUUAAUCUCAUUCUUACAUACGACAAUCUCUUACCUAUUACACUGACAAAAUGAGGUAUUUUCAUCCACAGUUUCCCUGACAAGUACAUGUAGAAGGGCUUUUGUUAGCUGUUUUUAAUAUAAUCCAAGCACCAUCAAU